rnacentral:rRNA from 1 species
GAUGAACGCUGGCGGCGUGCCUAAUACAUGCAAGUCGAGCGAACGGACGAGAAGCUUGCUUCUCUGAUGUUAGCGGCGGACGGGUGAGUAACACGUGGAUAACCUACCUAUAAGACUGGGAUAACUUCGGGAAACCGGAGCUAAUACCGGAUAAUAUUUUGAACCGCAUGGUUCAAAAGUGAAAGACGGUCUUGCUGUCACUUAUAGAUGGAUCCGCGCUGCAUUAGCUAGUUGGUAAGGUAACGGCUUACCAAGGCAACGAUGCAUAGCCGACCUGAGAGGGUGAUAGGCCGCCCUGGAACGGAAACAGGGUCCCGGGGCCUGCGGGAGGGACCAGUCGGGAAUGUUACGCAAUGGGGGGAAACAUUACGGAACAGCGCCGAGUGAGUGACGGCGGUGUUCGGAUAGUGAAACUCUGUUAUUAGGGAAAAACAUCUGUGAAAGGAAAUGUGCACAACUUGACGGUACCUACACAGGAAGCCACGGCUAACUACGUG